UACGGGGGGGGCAAGCGUUGUUCGGAAUUACUGGGCGUAAAGGGCUCGUAGGCGGCCAACUAAGUCAGACGUGAAAUCCCUCGGCUUAACCGGGGAACUGCGUCUGAUACUGGAUGGCUUGAAUCCGGGAGAGGGAUGCGGAAUUCCAGGUGUAGCGGUGAAAUGCGUAGAUAUCUGGAGGAACACCGGUGGCGAAGGCGGCAUCCUGGACCGGCAUUGACGCUGAGGAGCGAAAGCGUGGGUAGCGAACAGG
rnacentral:rRNA from 1 species